AGCGAACGCUGGCGGCAGGCUUAACACAUGCAAGUCGAGCGGAGAUGAGGUGCUUGCACCUUAUCUUAGCGGCGGACGGGUGAGUAUUGCUUAGGAAUCUGCCUAUUAGUGGGGGACAACAUUCCGAAAGGAAUGCUAAUACCGCAUACGCCCUACGGGGGAAAUCAGGGGAUCUUCGGACCUUGCGCUAAUAGAUGAGCCUAAGUCGGAGUAGCUAGUUGGUGGGGUAAAGGCCUACCAGGGCGACGAUCUGUAGCGGGUCUGAGAGGAUGAUCCGCCACACUGGGACUGAGACACGGCCCAGAAUCCUACGGGAGGCAGCAGUGGGGAAUAUUGGACAAUGGGCGGAAGCCUGAUCCAGCCAUGCCGCGUGUGUGAAGAAGGCCUUUUGGUUGUAAAGCACUUUAAGCGAGGAGGAGGCUACCUGGAUUAAUACUCUAGGAUAGUGGACGUUACUCGCAGAAUAAGCACCGGCUAACUCUGUGCCAGCAGCCGCAGUAAGAC
rnacentral:rRNA from 1 species